rnacentral:rRNA from 1 species
UGGGGAAUUUUGGACAAUGGGGGAAACCCUGAUCCAGCCAUUCCGCGAGAGUGAAGAAGGCCUUCGGGUUGUAAAGCUCUUUCGGCAGGAGCGAAAAGGUACGGGCUAAUAUCCUGUGCUCAUGACGGUACCUGAAGAAGAAGCACCGGCUAACUACGUGCCAGCAGCCGCGGUAAUACGUAGGGUGCGAGCGUUAAUCGGAAUUACUGGGCGUAAAGCGUGCGCAGGUGGUUGUUUAAGACAGAUGUGA